rnacentral:hammerhead_ribozyme from 1 species
ACCCAUCAGACGAGUCAAAAAUAGGACGAAACGCGUGUCCUGGAU